CUGAGUUAUCCAACUCCCAAACCCCUGUGAACAUACCUAUGUUGCUUCGGCGGGCCGUCCCGCGGCGCGCCCACGUGGCGUGACCCGGACCCAGGCGCCCGCCGGGGAACCAAACUCUUGUCUUCCAGUGUCUCCUCUGAGUGGCAUAAGCCAAAAUAAACA
rnacentral:misc_RNA from 1 species